GACAGAGGGUGCAAACGUUGUUCGGAAUUACUGGGCGUAAAGCGCGUGUAGGCAGCCCUGUAAGUCGGAUGUGAAAGCCCUGGGCUCAACCUAGGAAGUGCAUUCGAAACUGCGGGGCUGGAGUCCUGGAGAGGAAGGCGGAAUUCUCGGUGUAGAGGUGAAAUUCGUAGAUAUCGAGAGGAACACCGGUGGCGAAGGCGGCCUUCUGGACAGUGACUGACGCUGAGACGCGAAAGCGUGGGGAGCAAACAGG
rnacentral:rRNA from 1 species